AUACGUAGGGGGCGAGCGUUGUCCGGAUUUAUUGGGCGUAAAGGGUGCGUAGGCGGCCGUCCAAGUCCGGUGUUAAAUGGUCGGGCUCAACCCGAUCAUGCGCUGGAAACUGGGCGGCUUGAGUCCCGUAGGGGAUGCCGGAAUUCCAGGUGUAGGGGUGAAAUCUGUAGAUAUCUGGAAGAACACCGAUGGCGAAGGCAGGCAUCUGGCCGGAGACUGACGCUGAGGCGCGAAGGCGCGGGGAGCGAACAGGUUUAGAUACCCUGGUAGUCCGCGCAGUAAACGAUGCGCACCAGGUGUCGGGCGGCAGCGCCCGGUACCGGAGCUAACGCGAUGAGUGCGCCGCCUGGGGAGUAUGCCCGCAAGGGUGAAACUCAAAUGAAUUGACGGGG
rnacentral:rRNA from 1 species